rnacentral:rRNA from 1 species
AACGAACGCUGGCGGCAUGCCUAACACAUGCAAGUCGAACGAGAUCUUCGGGUCUAGUGGCGCACGGGUGCGUAACGCGUGGGAAUCUGCCCUUUGGUUCGGAAUAACAGUUGGAAACGACUGCUAAUACCGGAUGAUGACGAAAGUCCAAAGAUUUAUCGCCAGAGGAUGAGCCCGCGUAGGAUUAGCUAGUUGGUGUGGUAAAGGCGCACCAAGGCGACGAUCCUUAGCUGGUCUGAGAGGAUGAUCAGCCACACUGGGACUGAGACACGGCCCUGACUCCUACGGGAGGCCGCAGUGGGGAAUAUUGGUCAAUGGGCGAAAGCCUGAUCAAGCAAUGCCGCGUGAGUGAUGAAGGCCUUAGGGUUGUAAAGCUCUUUUACCCGGGAUGAUAAUGACAGUACCGGGAGAAUAAGCUCCGGCUAACUCCGUGCCAGCAGCCGCCGUAA